GCGCUCAUAGCUCAGCUGGAUAGAGCACUUGGCUACGAACUAAGGGGUCGGGAGUUCGAAUCUCUCUUAGCGCACCA
rnacentral:tRNA from 1 species